CAGAGCUCUCCUUCCCGCUCUCCUUUCUUGGAAUCGACCUCGGAAAGGUCACGGACUCUGCAGUCAGACAGACCAGGAUCUGACUUAUAGAUACGCUUGUGCAUGUGUGCAAAGAUAUACACAAAGAAUACUCCUUGCCAUUUUGUUUGUUGGAAUGAAGACUAGAUAUAAUCUCAACGUCCUGCAAUAGAGGAAUCUUCAGUGGACACUGUUGAUGCAAAGUCCAGAUUUCCUUGGAUCUCUUUCAUCGGUCCCGUGCGCGCCUCCCUGGUUUUGGUGCUGGUGAGUCCAUUUCUGAUGGCCCAAACCCCCAGAGCCUUCUGGAGAAGCCUGGCCUC
rnacentral:lncRNA from 1 species